rnacentral:lncRNA from 7 species
AUGCUGUUAGCAUGUGUUUCUGUAGCUCUGUCUGAGCAGUGUCAGGAUGGGUCUGUGUGGGGCUGUGCUGAUUUUGCCUGUGUUUUCUUUAUUAGUCAAGGGGACAGAGUAUGCAGCUAUUGGCAGAGGAUAAAACCAAGCUGGCUGGAGGGGACAACGCUGAGAAGGAGCCACCUCGGUCCCCGGUGAUGCACAAAAGCAGGACUCCGCUUCAGCCUUCGCCCUCCAGCUGCACUCCCCAAAACAGGCGUGAAGCUCUUGCAGCUAUAGAGAUGCAUAACACCCGUGCUGGUAUUUAAAUACUAGAAAACAUUAUUACUGGAUAACUUGUUUACUAUCUCAGAUAUCUACUACAUAGCUGUUGUUCUGUUUUUUUUUUUUUUUGAAAGGGCAUGGUAAAAAAAAUAAGAAACCAUUUAACUGUGUUAUUAUAUGUAUUUCUAACUCUAAGUAUUCUAUAUUUAGUCCCCUUUUCUCUGCUUUUCGUUUAGAUUGCUUGUAAAGGAUUGUAAUUUUGGUGCUGUACAGGAAAUCAGAUAUUCCUUCAUGAAGCCCUUCUACCUGAGUUCAAUGUAUUUGCCACAGGAUGUGAUCUUCACUCUACACAUAGAUGGCAAAAUUAGCUGUGGCUUAUACUUCUCUUAUAAAGCAGUUAACAUGCCAGUAAUGACAGAAGAUAACUUUGUAGUGGGAAUUUGAAGGAAACUACUGACAAUUUUAUUUAAUGCUUUUGGAAAUUCAUGUUAAACUGCAAAGCACUGUUGCUGCCUUGUUUCUUGGUCCGUUUCUGCCCUCUGACAAGUUUCCAGGCUCCCCUCAGAACAGGAGAUCUGGCUCUUAGAAAGAAUCCAGUGAACGUGCUUGAUGCAGCAAGCCCAUGGAUUGCAGGAAUUGGCCAGCUUGGCCAAAUUCUGUCAUCUCUAGCAAGAAAGGCUGCUCCGGGGCUUGGUGUGACAGUUCAGAUGGUGCAUGAUGGCUUUAUAUCAGACAUCAGAAAGUAAUGGCCCAUCAGUGUUUGAGACUAUGCAAAUAAAUCAAAACAUUUUCAGGUUCUCUUAAAGCAAUAUUCUUCUUGCAGAAGGGUAAGAGGGAGGAGAUUUCCUCUGCAGUAAGUGCAAUGAUUCCGUAUUGAUGUGUUUGGUUGCCUGUGAGCUGUUCUGCUGACAGUCUACCUGCUUGGGGAACCCCUGUGUGCAGUGAAUGAGUGCUCAGUUCAGGAAGCAGUCUGAUCUGCAUUGUUUCAUAAGGAAUUUAUUGACAGGAGAAGUUCUGGGGCUAUGAUGUUUUGUUGUUGUUUUGCCCUCUCGUGCUGAAUCUCACUGUGAUGAUGGUUUCUGGGUUUAGAAAUAAACCUGCCUGU